AGGGCACCACCAGGAGUGGAGCCUGCAGCUUAAUUUGACUCAACACGGGAAAACUCACCCGGCCCGGACACUGGAAGGAUUGACAGAUUGAGAGCUCUUUCUUGAUUCAGUGGGUGGUGGUGCAUGGCCGUUCUUAGUUGGUGGAGUGAUUUGUCUGGUUAAUUCCGAUAACGAACGAGACUCUAGCCUACUAAAUAGAUCGUCGGCUUACAAACGCCGGCGAGACUUCUUAGAGGGACAGGCGGUGAUUCAACCGCACGAAACAGAGCAAUAACAGGUCUGUGAUGCCCUUAGAUGUCCGGGGCCGCACGCGCGCUACACUGAAGUGAUCAGCGUGCUUUUUCAACCUACUCUGUCAAGAGUGGGGAACCCAAUGAACCUUCUUCGUGAUUGGGAUAGGGGAUUGUAAUUGUUCCCCUUGAACGAGGAAUUCCCAGUAAGCGCGAGUCAUAAGCUCGCGUUGAUUACGUCCCUGCCCUUUGUACACACCGCCCGUCGCUACUACCGAUUGAAUGUUUU
rnacentral:rRNA from 1 species